UCUAGAUUGUUAAGUUUUCAGAAGAAGCUGCGUACGUCAGAGACCUCUCAGAUGAUUUGCUGCAGCCAACUACAAAACGGUCUCACAAUGUCUCAACCAAGGAAGUCAUAUUCUGGAAAAUUUUUAAGUGCCAACAAUUGAAGUGUUCCCUGCAGCUGCUCUAACACCUGCACUAGCAGCACCAGAGAUGAGAAUGAACUGAGGGAGGAAUCAGAAGCCCUUUGUUGGAGAACCCGAAUAUAUUCCCCUAGAAAGGCUUGCCAGACAAGGCAUCAACAACAAGAUUUGCAUUUGGUUGGGUGGGUUCUUCCCUAUGGUACUGUCAAAUAGCUGGUGAAAAUCUGAGAGUUUUGAUAUGUUUGCCUGCAUUUGGGAAGCUUCACAAAAAAGUAUUGCAGAUGCCUUUUGUGGGUUUGGGUUAUCAAAUGUUGAACUAAGCUAG